rnacentral:rRNA from 1 species
UACGGGGGGAGCAAGCGUUGUUCGGAUUUACUGGGCGUAAAGGGCGCGUAGGCGGUCAGCACAAGUCAGUUGUGAAAUCUCCGGGCUUAACUCGGAAAGGUCAACUGAUACUGUGCGACUAGAGUGCAGAAGGGGCAACUGGAAUUCUCGGUGUAGCGGUGAAAUGCGUAGAUAUCGAGAGGAACACCUGCGGCGAAGGCGGGCUGCUGGGCUGACACUGACGCUGAUGCGCGAAAGCCAGGGGAGCGAACGGG